rnacentral:tRNA from 1 species
GGCAGUGUGGCUUGGUGGUGGAGCGCUUGCCUGGCAUGCAGGAAGCCUUGGGUUCCAACCCCAGUGCCACCA